rnacentral:ncRNA from 1 species
AACGACCGGCUGGACACUUGUGUGCCCGGCCCGCAAGUGGAGGCUCCGAACUCCCACCUGACCGCCCUCCGGGACGGCAGGUCACCCGGUCAGACGGCCACCACCGUUCCGUACGGACGGUGGAGCCGUCCGAUAUUGCGCCCCGCGGGACACCGCGGCGGUGCUCCGGCAGUACAUGGAGCCCCGCCUGUGUCCCGUCCGGGGCAUUUUUU